GACGAACCGUGCGACCGUUGUUCGGAAUCACUGGGCUUAAAGGGCGCGUAGGCGGCUCGCGAGGUCGGGGGUGAAAUCCCGCAGCUUAACUGCGGAAGGGCCUCCGAUACCGGCGGGCUGGAGGAAGGUAGGGGUGCGCGGAACUUCUGGUGGAGCGGUGAAAUGCGUUGAUAUCAGGAGGAACACCGGUGGCGAAGGCGGGACUCUGGGCCGAUACUGACGCUGAGGAGCGAAAGCGUGGGGAGCAAACAGG
rnacentral:rRNA from 1 species